rnacentral:rRNA from 1 species
CUUAGAGUUUGAUCCUGGCUCAGGAUGAACGCUAGCUACAGGCUUAACACAUGCAAGUCGAGGGGCAGCAUGGUCUUAGCUUGCUAAGGCUGAUGGCGACCGGCGCACGGGUGAGUAACACGUAUCCAACCUGCCGUCUACUCUUGGCCAGCCUUCUGAAAGGAAGAUUAAUCCAGGAUGGGAUCAUGAGUUCACAUGUCCGCAUGAUUAAAGGUAUUUUCCGGUAGACGAUGGGGAUGCGUUCCAUUAGAUAGUAGGCGGGGUAACGGCCCACCUAGUCAACGAUGGAUAGGGGUUCUGAGAGGAAGGUCCCCCACAUUGGAACUGAGACACGGUCCAAACUCCUACGGGAGGCAGCAGUGAGGAAUAUUGGUCAAUGGGCGAAGGCCUGAACCAGCCAAGUAGCGUGAAGGAUGACUGCCCUAUGGGUUGUAAACUUCUUUUAUAAAGGAAUAAAGUCGGGUAUGCAUACCCGUUUGCAUGUACUUUAUGAAUAAGGAUCGGCUAACUCCGUGCCAGCAGCCGCGGUAAUACGGAGGAUCCGAGCGUUAUCCGGAUUUAUUGGGUUUAAAGGGAGCGUAGAUGGAUGUUUAAGUCAGUUGUGAAAGUUUGCGGCUCAACCGUAAAAUUGCAGUUGAUACUGGAUGUCUUGAGUGCAGUUGAGGCAGGCGGAAUUCGUGGUGUAGCGGUGAAAUGCUUAGAUAUCACGAAGAACUCCGAUUGCGAAGGCAGCCUGCUAAGCUGCAACUGACAUUGAGGCUCGAAAGUGUGGGUAUCAAACAGGAUUAGAUACCCUGGUAGUCCACACGGUAAACGAUGAAUACUCGCUGUUUGCGAUAUACGGCAAGCGGCCAAGCGAAAGCGUUAAGUAUUCCACCUGGGGAGUACGCCGGCAACGGUGAAACUCAAAGGAAUUGA